GUUUCGGUAGCUCAGUUGGCAGAGCAAUGGGCUAGUGAUCCAGAGUCGCGAGUUCGAGUCACGCCCGAGACA